rnacentral:tRNA from 1 species
GCCUUGGUGGCUUAGUUGGUUAAGCGUCUGAUUUCGGCUCAGGUCAUGAUCUCCUGGUCUGUGAGUUCGAGCCCCACAUCAGGCU